rnacentral:rRNA from 1 species
UGAAAGCCUGGGGUGCCCCGCGAGGGGAGCCCUAGCACAGGUGCUGCAUGGCCGUCGUCAGCUCGUGCCGUGAGGUGUUCGGGUUAAGUCCCGCAACGAGCGCAACCCCCGCCGUUAGUUGCCAGCGGUUCGGCCGGGCACUCUAACGGGACUGCCCGCGAAAAGCGGGAGGAAGGAGGGGACGACGUCUGGUCAGCAUGGCCCUUACGGCCCUGGGCGACACACGUGCUACAAUGCCCACUACAAAGCGAUGCCACCCGGCAACGGGAGCUAAUCGCAAAAAGGUGGGCCCAGUUCGGAUUGGGGUCUGCAACCCGACCCCAUGAAGCCGGAAUCGCUAGUAAUCGCGGAUCAGCCAUGCCGCGGUGAAUACGUUCCCGGGCCUU